UGAGGAAUAUUGGGCAAUGCCCGCAAGGGUGACCCAGCAACGCCGCGUGGAGGAUGAAUGUCGUAAGAUUGUAAACUCCUGUUAGAGGGGAAGAAUAGAACCGGUUGGACCGGUAUAUGACUGUACCCUCAGAGAAAGCCCCGGCUAACUACGUGCCAGCAGCCGCGGUAAUACGUAGGGGGCAAGCGUUGUCCGGAUUUACUGGGUGUAAAGGGCGCGCAGGCGGGAUAAAAAGUCAGUGGUGAAAUCCUACAGCUUAACUGUAGAACUGCCUUUGAUACUUUUAUUCUUGAGCUCGGGAGAGAGAGACGGAAUUCCAGGUGUAGUGGUGAAAUACGUAGAUAUCUGGAAGAACACCAGUUGCGAAGGCGGUCUCUUGGUCCGACACUGACGCUGAGGCGCGAAAGCGUGGGGAGCAAACA
rnacentral:rRNA from 1 species